UAUUUAUCAUAAUUGCAUGAGCAAGAUCUUUAUAAUUAGUCUUUCUAUGUAAUAUAUAUAUACUUAGACAAAUAUAUAUAUAUAUUUGUUUACAUUUGAGUUUAAUGAGUUUAAGUCUAGACCCUAUAUUUUAUGGGGUUCAGAAGCGGAAAUCUGCCAUCUUAAAUUUUGUUUUUCCACAGUAUUCCCUACGGUGCCCUUCACACUGAUGUAUGAACUCAAGACAGGCCCACUUCUCUGCAGAAGAAUGUCCUAAUAUCAAAAAUGUGUCUCUGAUGAAUGUUGGACCAAAGGGAGUAAACAGAACCCAAGACAUCUAACAAAAUGUUCCCCAGAAUUAAGAUGAACACCAAAGAGAAUAGAUAAUUUUAUGGAAACUAUGUUGGUGGGAUCCACUUCCAGCUGUGUGGCUAGCACUCUCCUCUGCUCCAUGAAAAUGUGCAUGAUGAGAUAAUGCAUACACCCCUUCAAGGAUCUGUUACUACAUAGUUUCCUGUACACCAGACCAUAAACUGGAUUAAUUGACAACAUAACUUUUCAAGUGUCUGCACACCUCAUUCCUCUUGGUCGUGAGACAAGAACUCAGAACUUGCUGAAAUGCAGAAGUGAAAGAGCAGUAUCACUCCAUCCUGCUGAACUACGGGAGUGAAGAAGCCACAGUAGGACUUUACUAGAAGUGAGGAUUGGAGAACAGAAUCUUUCCAAAAGGAACACCUCGAAUACUCACUUCAUCAAGUCUCUGCAGACCAAAACCCAUCUCUGCUAACCAUACCCAUCUUAAAGAUACAGGAACAACUGCCAUGUUGUGGAGAGAGCAGAAAACAGCAGGCAAUCUCCCAGCCCUGAGAAUGGCCUCCUCUUCCCAACAGCCAGCAGGAAGGCUGGAAUCUCAGUCCUACGACCAAAAGAAACUCUAUUCUAACAGGCCAAAUCAGUCUGGAAGAAGAUCUUAAGCUUCAGAUGCAGAAAGGUAUUUGAAGAUAUGCAAUAAUUCAAAAGCGUAUUACGGCAAGAAAAAUUGCUCUGAAGAGCUGUAGCCAGGAGCAC
rnacentral:lncRNA from 10 species